rnacentral:rRNA from 1 species
AUUGAACGCUGGCGGCAGGCCUAACACAUGCAAGUCGAGCGGAUGAGAGGAGCUUGCUCCUUGAUUCAGCGGCGGACGGGUGAGUAAUGCCUAGGAAUCUGCCUGGUAGUGGGGGAUAACGUUUCGAAAGGAACGCUAAUACCGCAUACGUCCUACGGGAGAAAGUGGGGGAUCUUCGGACCUCACGCUAUCAGAUGAGCCUAGGUACGAUUAGCUAGUUGGUGAGGUAAAGGCUCACCAAGGCGACGAUCGUUAACUGGUCUGAGAGGAUGAUCAGUCACACUGGAACUGAGACACGGUCCAGACUCCUACGGGAGGCAGCAGUGGGGAAUAUUGGACAAUGGGCGAAAGCCUGAUCCAGCCAUGCCGCGUGUGUGAAGAAGGUCUUCGGAUUGUAAAGCACUUUAAGUUGGGAAGAAGGGCAGUAAGUUAAUACCUUGCUGUUUUGACGUUACCGACAGAAUAAGCACCGGCUAACUUCGUGCCAGCCGCCGCGGUAACAC